UCAGUCUGUGGGUUGAUAUGGAAAGUUAUGUUCUUUACUAAAUUUCUGAUCCAGUUAUUCUGAAGACUUACAUGAUCAUUAAACACUCAAACAUUCAGAACUUUUAUUUUAUUUAGUUUUAUUUGAUGUGAUUUAAACUUUCACCAGUCUGUUUCUGUAGUUCUUUAUGUUAAUCUUUUCUAAAGACUGCAAUUUAUGGUAACUACCUAACCAUCGCUUGAUUUUAAUGAGGCUGUAAACUGUUCAAUGUAUUUUGAUUAUCAUUAACAUCAGCAUCAUCAACAGAAGCAUAAUAAUAUAAUCUCUACCUGUUUUUAUCACCGUCAUUACCAACAGCAUCAUGAUAAUUAGCAUCAGUUAGUAUCAUCAACAGGGAAUAUCCUGUGUUGAAGACUAGGAAGUAAUCCUCUUUUUCUUUUCUUAUAGCAAGACAUGGCUGAUUUUGAUUGAGGAGAUGGAGGCAUUAUUGCAGUUACCUGUGAACAAUGCAAUUCAAAAGAUUGCUUGCAGCAGUCCAAGGGAAUAAGCAUUAAGUACUUCAUCCAGAAAAGUGACUGAUUGCUGAGCUUGUAAUAGACUGGUAACAAGGAAGAUAGGAGGCUAGUAACCAGACCAAUGACAGUUGGUAUCCUACAUUGAGAGAACCGUCAUUUAUUCUCAUUAAUGGCAGUCAAAUCAUCGCCUAUUACACUAAGCUAAGAUAUGGAAUCUAGUCUACAUAUAAGAGACUAUUAGCUCUUGCUCCCUCUUCGAGUCAAAUUCAACCUUAAAGAUAAAUUCCAGUUGUGGGGACGAUCUCAAAAUGACUUUUUACAGAAUUUAAUAUAAUGAUCACCAAAGUGUCUGUUUGUAUGAAUAAAAAAUAUGUGCCAAAGGAUUCUGGAAGAAAUUGUGUAAUUGCUGAGAAAUAAGCGCGGAUUCUGUCACUUCCGCAAUAAUAAUACACUGUCCCACAUGUGCCUAUCUGUGUUGGCGAUCUUCAGUGUGAUUGUUUUUUUGCUUAGAUAUUAUGAUUUCACCAAGUUCAGUUUAUGUAACUGUACCAGAUCUAGAUCCACGAUGAUGUAGUAAUACUUAACCUUGGUUUUACAGACUUUCUCACGAAAUCAGUAUUUUACUGCAACUACUGUCAUUUAGCUUUAAUCAUGCUGUAUGGUUGUUUGUAUACGAAAUAAAUUAUGCUUAUUUAUGCGUAAAUCAUACUUUUUGCUCGAAUUCACCUUAUAAAGCUCAUGGAGUUAAUUUUUGGUGUAAAUAUCUUUUAUACCAUUAUUAACAAUUACAAAUUAUAAAAAUCCUGGGUUGAAAAUGAAUUUCUUAUGUAUUUUCCAACCUUUUGUUUUUUCGCCAAAUUUAUAGUAGAACCUUUUUGAAGCAUAAUUAUGCUGAAAUCAAUUAGUUUCAGCUGAUGAAAGUAAAAAUAAUUAUAUCUUUAUUAAUACAGUGAGAAAGUUCAAUUUACAUUGACUUUGUACACAAAAUUACGCUUUGGAGCAAUUUCGGGUCUGACUUAUGUAAUGUUGCGUGAUUUUCGAACCGCACACUCGGGCAUCGUGAAUUUGAUCUCAAAACUUCAAAGCGCAAGACUUCAAAGUGAAAAGUCAGUGAGUGGCGCGGUUGAAAAAUUUCCGGGGGGUGAUUCAACCUCUCCCCCGGCAGCUUAAAGUCUUUUUCACUUUUUGUUUCUAUUUGAAGUGCUAUUUGUUAUAUUAAUGUGACUACUAUAGUAAUUUUGGUACGUCUGCAUGUAUAUCAGAUAAAGGCCUAAGGUGAUAUUGUAAGUGUUUUUAUACAUGUUACAAAGUUGUGUUCAUCACAUAUUUGAUGUAAACUAAAAUACAAAACAUGUUAUGAUACAUCAUUAACCCUGUCUUAACUGGGCUAUUUCAGAGCAACAUAUACUGGGGGGGUCAAUCUGACCCCCCCCCCCCCCCCCCCUCAAAUCUUGGUCGUUGACUGCACGAUCGCCGCGAAAAUUUGCAUGCGCGUAGAGCCGGAUGUAAACUACAAGACUGUAUAGUAAAAUUUUCAAAAAAUUAAUUGCUUAUAUUUUUUUAUUAAUUAUGCAGCUUUUGAAAUUUGCCCUAAAUUUGUUUUUUGUGUAUGUUUUUGCGUUUAACUAAAUUUAUAAAACUAGUAGAAUGCUAAUUUUUGGUGAACACGCAGAUUUUUACAUUUCUAACAGAAAUCUACAAAAAUUGCCAAAAAAUAAUUAAUUUCUUAUGUAUCUUCCUGGUUUUUUUAAAUAAUCUUAUGUAUUUCUUUGUUUUUCAAACCUUUGCUUUUUAUUGUUUUUUAUGAACUUUGUUGGGGACCUUUUUGCAAUUAUAACUAACAUAAAAUAAAUCCAUCUAAACCAGCCUGAUCUAAACCAACAAAAGUAAAAAUCACACAUUUAUGAUUUUUGGUUGUAAAACACAAUUUGCACUGACUUUGUACACAUAAUCACGUUUUUGAGCAAUUUUUUUGAUUGACAUGUGCUAACAAAAUAUUACGUAAUUUCGGAACUGCGUACCCGGGCGUCGCAAAUCUGAUCUCAAAAGAUGUGCAAUAUUUAAAAGUAAAUCGUCAGCGAGCGGCGCAGUCAAAAAAAAUUGCGCUGGCGUAAUAAGUAUAAUAAGGGCUAAACUAGUAGUUGACAUGGUUAUAGCUAGCUUUGCAAAACAAAAUUUUGCUCAACUACAGAAACGUCGUUGCUUGCAUUCAUUUACGAUUAUAAUUUUUUCCAAGCAUGUACGAAUGAUGUAUUUUGAGGGAAAAAAAUGUAAGAGAAAUCCUUGUAAAUAAAGUUUAUAUUUUCAAUA